rfam:Echinostoma caproni strain Egypt genome assembly, scaffold: ECPE_scaffold0003145
GGUCUAGUGGUGUAGUGGUUAUCACGUCUGCUUUACACGCAGAAGGUCCCCGAUUCAAACCCGGGCUGGACCA